rnacentral:lncRNA from 10 species
GUGAAUUGUAUUUAUUACCUAUUAAAAAUAAGCUAGCAAACACUGGAAGGAAGAACAGCGACUGUUCUGAAGCCAGGAAAAGCAACCCAGGGUGGAAAGCAUUCUUGCCAAUGGCUGUUUUGCAUCAGCCUAUAGUUUCUUUCACUCCUAGAAGCUGGGCUGGGCUGGUGGGGGUUGGACCUCACUGGAUAAGACUGACAGGAUGGUCUUGGAUGAAACUCCAGAAGAGGCCACCUAACGGGCCGGGAAGAUCUGGCUGACUUGGGGGUGGGAUCUACUCCAGAAUGCUGACAACCAAACACCCCUGAGGCUGUCCCCUGGAGGAUAUAGGUUCCUAACUUUGCAAGGACUUCCUGAAGCUUCCCAAACACUGGAUGACUCAAGCCUGGCCUUGGGAAGGGAAAGAGUGUUGGAGUGUGACAGCUUUAGAAGUUUGUCUUCCCUCUGGCAGGAGCAAAGAGUAGGUUGCCAGGGAACAUAAUAUCUUGAGAAGGGCAAGAACAGAUUGGAGGGCCACCUCAUUGUAUUUCAUUCCUGGAAGAGGAAAAGGGAACAUUCCUUCCCGCUGCCGCCUCAAAAGGGUAUGAGAACACAGGGCAUGCCCGAUGGCUGCAAAAACUGGGACAGCAUCCUCGCUUCUUGCUCUGUUCUCAAGGAGCAUGCACAGUGUUUGCCUUGACCAUUUCCUGUUUAUACAAAAGCAAUAAAAUGAGCUUGCAAGGUAAAUAACAACCCUGGUGGAGCAGUGUCUCACACGCUAAGGUACUGUUAUCUGAGGUAAAUUACAGAAUUCACACUGAUUGUCAUCCAGCCUGGGGAGAGAAUUUUCUAACUUGUAAAAACAGCAAUAGUAAAAUGUUCAUGUUAAACUUGUUUUAUAUGGUAAGUGCCAUCUUCCUUGUAAAUUUCCUCAAGAACUGGGUUUCAUUUUUCAGCAUCUAGAAAUAAUAACCCCCAAAAUAGCUAGCAUUUACUGGGGACUCUCUGUGAUAGGCAGUGUGCUAAGAAUUUUGUUUAAUUCUCAUGUCACCACAAUGCUUUACUGUAGCUACC